AACGAACGCUGGCGGCAGGCCUAACACAUGCAAGUCGAGCGAGGACUUCGGUCCUAGCGGCGGACGGGUGAGUAACGCGUGGGAACGUGCCCUUUGCUUCGGAAUAGCCCUGGGAAACUGGGAGUAAUACCGGAUGAGCCCUUUGGGGGAAAGAUUUAUCGGCGAAGGAUCGGCCCGCGUUGGAUUAGGUAGUUGGUGGGUUAAUGGCCUACCAAGCCGACGAUCCAUAGCUGGUUUGAGAGGAUGAUCAGCCACACUGGGACUGAGACACGGCCCAGACUCCUACGGGAGGCAGCAGUGGGGAAUCUUAGACAAUGGGGGAAACCCUGAUCUAGCCAUGCCGCGUGAGCGAUGAAGGCCUUAGGGUUGUAAAGCUCUUUCAGCUGGGAAGAUAAUGACGGUACCAGCAGAAGAAGCCCCGGCUAACUCCGUG
rnacentral:rRNA from 1 species